AUACGUAGGGAGCGAGCGUUGUCCGGAAUUACUGGGUGUAAAGGGAGCGUAGGCGGGACUGCAAGUCAGAUGUGAAAUACCGGGGCUUAACCCCGGAGCUGCAUUUGAAACUGUGGUUCUUGAGUGAAGUAGAGGCAAGCGGAAUUCCUGGUGUAGCGGUGAAAUGCGUAGAUAUCAGGAGGAACACUGGUGGCGAAGGCGGCUUGCUGGGCUUUUACUGACGCUGAGGCUCGAAAGCGUGGGUAGCAAACAGGAUUAGAUACCCUGGUAGUCCACGCUGUAAACGAUGAUUACUAGGUGUGGGGGGACUGACCCCUUCCGUGCCGCAGUUAACACAAUAAGUAAUCCACCUGGGGAGUACGGCCGCAAGGUUGAAACUCAAAGGAAUUGACGGGG
rnacentral:rRNA from 1 species